AUACGUAGGGGGCGAGCGUUGUCCGGAAUGAUUGGGCGUAAAGGGCGCGUAGGCGGCGCGGUAAGUCUGGAGUGAAAGUCCUGCUUUCAAGGUGGGAAUUGCUUUGGAUACUGCCGCGCUUGAGUGCAGGAGAGGUUAUCGGAAUUCCCGGUGUAGCGGUGAAAUGCGUAGAGAUCGGGAGGAACACCAGUGGCGAAGGCGGGUAACUGGACUGCAACUGACGCUGAGGCGCGAAAGUGUGGGGAGCAAACAGGAUUAGAUACCCUGGUAGUCCACACUGUAAACGAUGAAUGCUAGGUGUAAGAGGUAUCGACCCCUUUUGUGCCGGAGUCAACACAAUAAGCAUUCCGCCUGGGGAGUACGGCCGCAAGGUUGAAACUCAAAGGAACUGACGGG
rnacentral:rRNA from 1 species